GACGAACCGUGCGAACGUUGUUCGGAAUCACUGGGCUUAAAGGGCGCGUAGGCGGCUUGCCAAGUCAGUGGUGAAAUCCCACAGCUUAACUGUGGAAGUGCCUUUGAUACUGGCGAGCUCGAGGGAGGUAGGGGUAUGUGGAACUUCUGGUGGAGCGGUGAAAUGCGUUGAUAUCAGAAGGAACGCCGGUGGCGAAAGCGACGUACUGGACCUCUUCUGACGCUGAGGCGCGAAAGCUAGGGGGAGCAAACGGG
rnacentral:rRNA from 1 species